GGCAGCAGGUGGGGAAGUGAGUCUGGAAGAUCGCAGAGCCAAUAAAAGCUGUGGUAAUGAGUGGCUACCAGUGUUCUUAAUGAGGCUGAGUCCUGCCCCUCUGACAGACUUUAGAAGACACUCAGGAAUGUCCCACUGAGGGAUAAGAAGCCCGAGAUAUUUGUUUUCUACAUUCUAUCCCUCAUCAGUUGUGAAUGGCUCCUGAGAGCUUUAACUACCCUUCUGGCCUUCUACAGGCAAAAACAGCUUUCUGGCAGAGUGACACUACCAUUUGAGAUGAUUAGCCCUGAGCUAACAUCUGCUGCCAAUCUUCCUCUUUUUGCUGAGGAAGACCAGCCUGAGCUAACAUCCAUGCCCAUCUUCCUCUACUUGAUAUGUGGGACCCCUACAACAGAAUGGCUUGCUGAGUGUGUCCGCACCCGGGAUCCGAACCGGCGAAUCCCGGGCCGCCAAAGUGGAACGUGCAAACUUAACUGCUGAGCCACCGGGCCAGCCCUUGAUCCUUAUUUUUUGUAAAUUAUCAGAGAGGUGGUGGCUGCCUGGAGGGCCGGAGGAGCAGCAGAGAACACAGCAGCCAACCCUGUCAGAGCGCCUACCCGCAUCCCCCAGCACUCAGUGGCUCAGUGCUCACAGACUUCCAACUGCAACGCAACCCUGUCAGAGCGCCUACCCGCAUCCCCCAGCACUCAGUGGCUCAGUGCUCACAGACUUCCAACUGCAACGCAACCCUGUCAGAGCGCCUACCCGCAUCCCCCAGCACUCAGUGGCUCAGUGCUCACAGACUUCAACUGCAACGCAACCCUGUCAGAGCGCCUACCUGCAUCCCCCAGCACUCCGUGGCUCAGUGCUCACAGACUUCAACUGCAACGCCUUGCUUAGGGACUUCCUAUGGCCUCUAGAGCUGGCAGUUAGUGUGGGCCAGGCAGGCAGAAAGUGCCUUGCCCGUAAUACCCCUGGAAACAGUCAAGGACUGGCUGGAGUUGGUGGAAAAUACCCUGGCGGAAGGCAACUCUGAGGCAUGCUCCAUGUGCCCUCGCAGAGGUCCCCAGUGGACCUGAGCCCCACCUGCCCGUGGAGCUAACCUGCUCAUUAGUGCACCACGCACUGGCUUCCUUCAGUUCCUUAUCUUAACUCCCCAUUCCCUUAUGAUGGGAUUGACUCCCAAAUCAAUGUUUUGCACUCAAAUCUUCCUCUCAGGGUCUGUGUCUGGGGGAACCUAACGUAAGACAAAUACCAUGCGUGAGGUUUAACAUGAGCACAGACCACGGAAGUGGCUGCUUGCACACCAGGUGUUUUGCAGCCCUCAUUUGAGUGUUGAGAAGAGAAGUCGUAGGUGUGUGGCUGUGCAACAUUGUGCUGUCAUCGGUAAAGUCAGGGAAGAAUAGCUACCUCCCAGGUUUUGGAAAAAAUAAACUACAUGAUUCUCCUGCAUGUGCUUUUCUUUUAACAACGUCAGAUUGUGUUUAUGAGUAAAGUUGAUAGAAGUUAGAUUGAUGCAUCUGUCCAAGGAUUGGCCUACAGAAAAUCAGUUCUCCUCAAAAAAUGAUACAGGAAGGGCUCAGCCAAUCCUGGCUGAUCCCAGACCUGAAUCCACCAGAGACAGUUAUUGCCAUCAUGAGAUGCUUAGAACAAAAGAACAUGGAUUAAGUUAGAACCUAUGUUCCAAGUCAGUCUCAACGUAAAAGUACUUUUCAAAACUUGAGGGAUGUAGCUAGCAUAUUGUUGGCAAAGUACUAAAGUCUCCUGAGUUAGUUCAGAGGAGAAGCAACAUACAAAAGGUGUUGAGAAAUGGUGGAGGGUGAGGAAGAACUCUGGAAACAAAAAAAAAGAGAAAGAUCUGAUUAUUUAGCCUCACCAAGGCUCAGUUUGUCCAUCUGUAAAACAGAGGUAAUGGGACCCUCAAGGUUGUAGCAAAGAAUAGAUGUUAAUGCGGUGCCGGGCACAUGGUAUUCACACAAUGCAUGCAAGCUGUAUUGUUAAUAUUAUGACUAUUUGGCUGAAACUGCAUAAACUAGCCUCAUGUCAUCCGCAAGAUUAUAACAUAGUUUACAUAAUUACAUGGGUUUGUUUAUACGGACUACUGCAGUCUUUUAAUUAUGCUCGGGAAUGCUAGAACUCAACAAUCGGGGCUCGUGGCUCUGAAGUUCCAUUAGUUCUGGCUGCACGAUUAUAUUGUAUAGUAAUCCAGUGUGUUUUUUUCCAAUAAAAGAUUGUGUAAAAAGUCUAUUCAUUUCUUACUGCUGCAGCAAGACAACAUCUUUUGGAGAGGAAGAUGUGGGGUUCCGUUUUAAAGGAAGCGAUUCCUAUUGCUUGGCGGUACAAAUUCAUCCUCAAGAGCUACUGGAAAUCAAUUAAAUUUGGUCUUCACUGUGGAAUCUGAGGAGCGCCUGUGGUUAAAAUGGCUGCUUUGGGCAGAGCAAAGAGGUGAAUGUUUGUCCUGCUGCUUCCUGGAACUCAUUGGCUUAAAAUAAUUUUCUUGAAGCAAAUAAGAUGAAAGAAGCUGAGGAAGAGGAUGGAGUUUUGAAUGGCCUGCAAAGGCCAAUGUGGCCCCUUGUUUUCCAGGACAAGGACAGCUCACCUCGUGAGAUUACAAAGGGAAAGCUUGACUGCGAGGUUAUCUGCCACUGUGCAGAAUCCACUGCCUCCUGAGUUUGGUGUCUGCAUCGCAGAAGUGUGAUCUCUCUCACAGUGUUGCAAUUUAUGAGAAUUUCUUGCAUGA
ensembl:lncRNA